CUUCUUAUCCAUUUCAUCUUGGACUUGUGGCCUCUCAUACCUCAUCUUCCUUACAGUCCUCCAUAUGAAAUCCCCCUAAAGUAGGAACAAAGCUUUGGCCAACUGCUCCUCCCAUCUUUCCGUGGUCUUUACUUAGGAACUGUGUGUUUAAUAUACGUGACACAGGGUUUCUCCCACAUCCCUGAGCAGAAACAAGCUGUGUCUGUAUUUUGCACUGUACUCACCCCCAUGCUAAACCCCCUCAUCUACAUCCUGAGAAACAAGGAUGUGGUGGGGCUCUUCAGAAAGUUCUGGG
rnacentral:lncRNA from 1 species